GUCGCCAGCACAUGAGCCCUAAAUAUAGCACAGGCUGGAGGAAAUUCCCCCGUUAUUUUCCAGAUUGUCCGUGGGAGUGAAAGAGCAACAACAAAAGGUAAUAAGAUAUCCAACUCGGAGAGCACAGUCUGACUUGCAAAUAUAGCUUGUUGCUGCAGCAUAGAAGCCCCUACUGAAUGGAAAGCCGAUAGUCACCUGUGCUAUCACCUGUGCUAAAAUGAGGUGGUCAGAGAGCACCCUGGGAAGCCUGCUAUUCUUCAAAGGCUUUCACCUGCAGCAAAAUCUGACUCGUGGCAGAAACUCAUGUUUGCAAGAGUGAAACCAUCAGCAGUGGUGCUUUAGCCUCUCUUUUGCCUUGUGUAACAUGUUCAUCCUGAGAGGCCUCUGUGGAAAAGCCCUUUUCAGCGUGGAGCCAAUACCAUCAGCAUCUGCCUUUCCAAAAGGCAGGAAAAAAAUGGGGAAUUCCUGAUCUUCAGGACAGAUGGACCCUGAGAAGCCAGAGUGCUGAUGUGCAAGAUUGCCAGUGGUUGGAAUGGGC